AGCCUCGAGGUCGCGUGCGCGGGUGAGAGGAGAGUGUAACGUAUCCUCGUGAAAGAGCUUGCACGCCCUUUACCCUGACCCCGACCGUGUCCGCCUCCGAGCCCUCAGUGUGACGUGAGCGGGGCCAGCGACGAUAUUAUCUGUGGCAGCUGAAUUCCUUGAGGGGAAAGUCACUUCCAGCAGGAUUCGCCUGUGCGCGGUCCCCCCCCCCAAUCAUUAGGCCCGAUGCCUGGCUGCUGAGGUCGACACUGACCUCCCAGGAAUGUCUGCAAGCCCGACGGCAGCUUACCCUCUGCUCCCCGCCUGCCUCCCCCAAGAGGAAGUGGCUGUUUUAGGCACGGAGAGAGCGGGGAGACGGACUUUCCCCAAAGGCAGCGGUGCCUGACUCCAGGCUCGGCGGCUCCCUGGACAAGGCCCUGGGUGCCCGGCGCAUCCUUAGACGGCUUAUGGGGAAGGGAGGGGGCAGGGACACCACGCCUGGUGACUAGCGAGCCCGAUGGGUGACAGGCACGGAGAGGAGGCCGGUCCACAGGAGGAAUUACUUCCGGAGGAGGAGUGAUGAGCUCCCUGUCGCAGAGGGCCAUGUGGGAAUCGCAGCUGUUCAAACGCGGCACCAAAAUCGCGGCUCCAUCGGCAACACGGGUCCCGAAUCUCUUCCUGGUCCGCGCCUCCAGUGUCACUCCCGGGACCCCGCCUGUCCCUGCGUCCUCCCUUGCCCCCACGGGCCGCACCACACCCAGCAGCCCCUGGGGCUCAGAGCCCCCCCACCCCCAGUGACGUCCUGGGUCCCCUGGGCCAGACCCACAGUCCUUGCCGUCCCCCAAAGGCCCCACCUGCACAGUUUCCCGUGGCUGUGCCCUCCGCUCCCAUGUCCCUCUCACUCCACUUAGCCCCACUGGCUCCCUGGUGAUUUUUCCAAACAAGUCGGCCUCACUCCCGCCUCAGGGCCUUUGCACUUGCUGUUCCCCCUGCCUGGAAUGCCGUUCCUCCAGAAUCUCAGUUGCCCCCUCUCCCCACAUCCUGUUUGCUCAAACGCUGCCUCCUCCGUGAACUGUUCAAAGUGCAAGCACGGGGCCGUGAGUUCUAACCAAAGGUGGAUUGAAGCACACACAGCCUUUGGGGGCAGAGUUAGCUCUUGGAGCAGAAAGGGGACCAGGCUUAUCGAAAUCCAAGACCUAAGACCAUAGAGAACCUUGUGCUCCAAAGGCUGAAGGGCCAGCCGGACUGCAGGGCAAAUGCCUCUCCAGGAAAGCUUUGAAAACAAGAACUAAACCUUAACAGCCUGUCUCGGGCCCUGGACGCUUCACCUGUCCUCUCAGGGCACCCCAAGCCUUCCUACUCCCGUGUGGCCCCAGACGCCUGGGAGCACCGGGCUCCCUGACACCAGCCACCACCCUGCCAAGUGGCUGCUCCCUCUACCCAGCAGAGCGCCCCGCAGGGAGGCUCUGGAGGUUUCCGGCAUGGGCUCCCAGAAACCCUAACAGCACGGUUUCCUGCAGAGCCCGAAGAGAAGCCCAGGCGGCAGGGCUGUGGUGACUAACUCCUGGCUUUUUGUUCUUGUUCCUUCGCAUAGAAAUCACACCGUGGUUUGUAACAAAUUCGGUUUCUAUUCCCGCCCCCGAAAUGCAAAGCAGAACACAAUAGGGAGUGUACCUGUUCUCCUAGCGGAUAGCAGCCCGAACGCCGGGAGCCCUGGUGCAGGGCCAGGCUCUGUCUGCAGCCCUGCAGUGGCGAGCCCUGCCAUGCCCAGCUCGUGACCUCAGGACCACGCCGAGACCACGCCGUGCAGCCUGCGCGCCUCACGUUUGCGAAGCAUUCCUGGAUUCCUCAUGCGCUCCCCGUGACUCAGCAUCCGCCUCAUUUGAACUAAAGCUGUUUUAAACCCAGGACACCUGGAAAGCUGCCUCAGCUAAGACGUCCUGCUUGGAUCCCCCCGCAGACCCGGGGUCGCUGGCAGGGAGUCCACCCUGCAACGUGAAUCACCAUUUAAAAUCAGGAUUUCACCUAAAACCGUGGCAGACACGCAUGGUUCCCCAUCCAGGAUCUAUUUCCCCUUAUUUUUUGGUUAUGAAUCCUGAUUUUAGACAGGGCAGAGAUGUACCAGCUAAAAGACUACAUUUCCCAGCCUCCCUUGUGGCAAAGGAAGACCGUGGGAUUCCCCAUAAGGUGGAAGUGGAGUGUUUUUUGUCACUUCCCUCCUCUCGGCUUCCUCCUUGGGAACUAGGAUGAGUGGCUGGCGCUCCAGCAGCCACCCUGAUCUACGAGUUCACCUUGACGAUGGAAAGCACGUGCUGGGAUGAUGCAGGAGGAAGGGAAGAAGCCCGAGUCUCCUUGGUGACUCCACGAAGCCAGGAAACUACAGCUGAACUACCUGCCUCCUGACUUUGUUUCUAUGUGGCUAAAAAAAAAACAGUCAGCUGCUUCCUUACGUGAACCACCGUACUGGUGGGUGUUUUCUCUUUCACGUAGCGGAUCUAGUCCUGAGACACUGCUUCUCCUGAAAAAUCACAGUAUCUAGUAAGCUGGAUAUUUACUUUAUAACAAGUCUGUAACAGCGUUAUUGAGCUGUAACUCACACACCACACAAUCCCUCCUUUGCAGGGGAGCCCAGAGCCGAGCCGCCAGCCCCGCCGUUCACUUCCAGGACAAUUUCGCCGCCCUGGCAGGGACCUUAUUCCGGAGCAGUCACGCCUCGCUCCCCUGCCGCCUGGCACAACCCACCCUCUGUCUCCGGGUGACAUCUCCUGCCUGUGGCCACCCCUCCUGCUCGGCACGGCACUUUCCGGGCUGCUCCACGCGGCUCCUCUCCACGGCGGGCUGGUCUCUUGCCUCCGGAUUCCUCCACAUCCGGGCACUCCUGCUGGGCUGCCACCAGCUGGACUGAGUCCCAGCCCAGGCCAGACGGGGUGCAGCUCCCCGACCUCCCAGCUGGGCCCCUCACCAGGCUCAUGCGGGUGGCCGAUGCCAUCGCACUUGCAAGCCUGUCUCCCCGCAGAUGAAGGGACCGAGGACAGCCCAGCUCCUCCGCGCCCUCUGCGGCUGGCUGGUGUCCCCUCACAGGGCAGGAGGGAGGCAGGUGCUCAGGGCCUCUCUUCCCCCCCAUCACGUCACACACUGAGAGCUGUGUGAUAGAUGGGGAUUUGAGUCUCUGUUCAAUGCCAUUAACGGAUGGCACAAGAAGUGGCAGCUUUAGGGCAGUUCCAAAAUGUUUUCUUUCAUUAUUUUUAUGAUCCGGGAACCGCCCCACACAAGAGAGCUGGAAUCCUCUGGUCUUGAUCCUCGGGAGGAAACUGUGACAGGAGAGGGGCAGGCGUCCUCCCCGCUUUCCAAACGAGACCGGGCUCCGCUGGACUGCGGACUGGCCCAGAGUCCCCACCAGGGCCCGGCCCACCCCGUGCUGCUCCGAGGGUCUGUCGCACAGAACAGCGGGAAACGAGCAUUCAGUCGUCGUCGUCGUCGUCUUCAAGGAUCUCGGGGCGCCGAUGCUGGGAAACACGGACCGUGGCCGCGAAUGCAGGAGUGCAGAGUGUGACUGCGGGGGAAGAGCUGUCCGUUGCAGGGCAUGAAGGAAGGCUUCCUGGAGGAGGUGCCCUUGGAGCUGGUCCGGAAGUUGGGGGGAGGGGUUCCGCAGGGUAUUCUGGAAUGAAGAAGGAGCUUAAGCCAGAGCAAGCGCCGACUCCUACUGAGAAAGGACUGUGGGAGAGAAACUGGGGGGCAAGAAAAUCCUGGGGAACAGGGGCAGUGAAGCAGCUCCUGGGCUCACACACGCGGCUCUCAGAGGGCGCACCUUUCACCCGCUCCUGGUUCAGACAAGAUUCAGACCCGCGGAUGCUCACCUGCCGGGGGAGCCAGUGGUGAGCCCGGCUCAGCAUUGCCUUUCUCCCCGGGACCCAGGACCCAGCCAUGACCAGGCCUGGAGGCCUCCACGGGCAGCGGGUGGUCAGCAGAGCGCCUCCUGUGGCCUCUCGAGUGGCCCGGGCCUCCUCAUGGUGGUGGCCGGAGCCAACAGCAGUGUCCCAGGAGGGCUGGGUGGGGAGUCCCUGGGCCUGGUGGCAGUGCAGCCGGACUCAGGGACGGAGCACAGACCACCUCUUCAUGUCAGAAGCUGCGAGUCCGGGAUUUUGGAAGACACCGAGGUUGCACGCCCGGGCUGCACGCACGCGGCUCUCAGGUGUUGCUGAGUCUCUGCGCGCUGCUGUCAGUGUGGACAGGGUGCCUUGUGUCUCCUGGCCUUUGCUGACCGUGUGAACACAUACAGGUGAGGCUGGGCUGCUCCUUUGGCGCCGCAAGGAUGGCAGAGGCUGCAGGACUGGGAGUGACUGCUAUUCCGGAUGUUGCUGCAGAAGGUGGGGGAUGGGGCACAGGUGAGCCCCCAGGAGCGGGGCUCUGGGAAGCACCCUGAUCAGAGCAGGAGGCCCAAGUCCUGCCUGCUGCUGGCGGUGGGCACAUCCUGGAGCCCUGGAGGCCUGGGGCCCUCGUCAGCUCUAAGAUGCUCAGUGUUUCCUGAGCGACGCGGGUCCUUGGCCCCAGAGGUACCCACGUGCUCGCGUUUGGGUCUGUUAGACCCUGGGGGCGUCACGAAGCGGGGUCCUGGGCACAGGCGGGGAAACCGAGGCUCUCCUGGCCCCUUGCUGGGGCGCCACCCUGAGGCGGGAGGAGGGUGUUGGGAGAGUCCCCCAGGCACCAGACCCGGCGUGGGGUGAACAGACAUCAACCCGGCAACCUCACUGGACCCCUGAGCCGGAGGAAGCUGCGUCCCAGUGAAUUGAUUCACAGGGAGGAAGAGGCGUGUGCGGGGCACUCACCUCCUCCCGCCUCGCACGCGCCCUCCCGGCCCCAGAGCAGCGGAUCCACAGCCCAGAGACGUGUGGCAGGAUGGGGAGGGCGUUUCUCCCUGGGGCGGUGGCACAGGGCAGGUAAGUGCGCCCGCCACCACCUUAGGGCUUUCCGCCAGAACCUGUGACCGUGGCUGCCUCAGGACUGGCUCUACAUCAGGGCCGUGGCGGGUGGACGGCUGUGCCCUGCUUUUUCUCUCUUCUUCCCCAAGAUAUGUUUGGCAACUGCGUCUGAGGCCUCCAGCUGCACCUGGGCACAGCGUGUCCCCGUGGACACCAGAGGUUGCCAGAUAAGCAUGGGGUGAACUCGGAUCCGCACCAGCUGACACGAAACCUCCCUUGACACGGCCAAGUUACGUCACCCGGACCAGCAGGUGCCCCCAGACAGCACGGGGCCUGGGAGGGACUCCGCCUCUGCUGGCACCUCCGCUCCGUGGCCCUGCUUUCCUGCUUCCCCGAGGUUCCCUGCAAGAUUCUGCUGGAAGAGGCAGUUCUAAGAGGGGAGGGGUGCAAACCACCCGGCUGCCACCCAGUCACACUGCUGGACGGGAGAGGACGCGGCUCAGAGAGGGGACAGCAUUGCUCAGGGUCCCCGCCCGUCUGCACAGACCCAAGAGGCACCCCCCACCCCAGCUCAACUCCUUCCAUCUGACCGACUCUGACCUGGCUGCGGGCACCCUGGCUGCGGGCAGACUGCACCUGGCAGAGUUGUCUCCCAGAGAGACCAGCAGGGUGUCCAUUGUCCGUAGGGGCCCCAUCCUUCCCCCAGGCCCCCUGUCCAGUCUUUCCAGAACCCAGGACUCUGGGUUCCUGAUUCGCUCCUCCCCCAGGUGCCAAGCUGGGACAGUGGUAACAGCCGCGCUCCCAGCACGGAGCCUGACUUCCCGAAUCUCUGAGCGAGCGGCUCAGACACACCUGUGUGAGCUCCCGGUCCCCUUUCCCGGCCUUGGGGGAGGGGGGUCCUCAAACGAGUGGGAGGAAGGAAGGGAGGGAGGGCGGGGGUGGGGACAGUCAGAAGGCUCAAGGGGCAGACGCCUGCUCCUUCCAGGCUGGGAAACUGAGGCCCAAGAACCCACCACCAUGCUCCAGGACGUGCGCAAGAAGCCGCCUCCGACACCUCUGCCUCCUUGCCCCCGACCCAGGCUGUUUGGGGUCAGCAGGGGAGGUGGGCUCCAAGUGGGCUUGAGGCCCCAGAGCUUCGCCCACCUCCGCAGCUGCCUGGACCCUCGGUCCGUCCGUUUGUGUGAAAAUGGGAAAGACGGCCCCCACCUCCCCGGCAGUUGGGAAAUUCAACUCCAGGCACAGGUCGCAGGUCGUGCCAGACCCUGCAGCCCCCCGCCUGAGUCCUGGUCUUGGCUGGCAUCAUGGUCACCACCCUGAAAGGCCUGAUGCUGCCUGACCUGGCACCACCCAGCCGCCCUGGGAGCAGAUCUUACAGCCUCGCACUCAACAGGGCCGGCGGUGGGGGGCCGCUGCCGUCAGGGUCCGGCAGGAGUCAGGGCGCUCACAGGAGGGUGUGUGAGGCUGACUGGUGACACACCAGAGGAAACAUGCCCCAGGGCUGGCACCACCCCGGGCCUGAAAGGCAAGAGGAAGGGGCAGACCCUGGAGCCCAGGAAGAGCAGUCACACAGCCCACCUGGCAGGGAGAGGCCCCCCACUCCCUCCUCCUGCUGGUCAAAGCCGGAGGGCACCCGGAGCAGGGGGCUCCCAGCAGGCCAGCCCUGGGGGCCCGGGAGGGGCAGCAGCCGGCUGUCACCUGCUCCUGGCUCUGGGGGUCCUUUAACUUCACUGCCUGCUGGAGCAGGUGGCUUUGCCCAGCUGCCAAGGCCCUGGCUUGACCUUCUCUACCCCCUCUCCUUCUCCCCCUCAAGCUCCUGUUUGGAAUCUGAAAAGGUAACUGGAAGGCAGCUGCUGCCAAAUUGCCCCCUGGGCUCAGAGAGGGGAGGAAGCUGUGAGGCUGAGCUCUCACCCGCCACUGAGCGACAGAGCAGGCAGGGGCUGCAAACACCCCCCAGGCCCCCUGGACCCGGCUUCCACUGCCGCCCCCACCAAUGCACCUGAGGCUGAGUGCGGAUACAGGACGUCCAUUUGCCCAGGAGGCGACUUGAGAAACCGCCCAGGCGGCCUUGGCCGCGGUCAUGCCGGUCCAGUCACAGCGCCGAAGCCAGAGGCCCCGAAAGAAGGAACGGCCAAGCUGGACUUCAGCAAAAUCAAACCUGGGCCGAAGACCACGGGAGGACAGAGGUGGGCUCAGCCGGAGGGAGGUGUGCACGGAACACACGGGACCAAGUUCUUUUUCUCAGUGCGACUGGGCGGCUGUAAGAGCAGCGUCACUGGGCGGCUUCCGACGGCAGGGCCUCAUGGCUCACGGGCCGGAGGCUGGAAAUCUGAGGUCGAGGGCCAUGCGGCCGCGUGAAAUCGGGGCCACAGGCCUCUCCCUGUGCCCUCCCGCCCUGGAAGCGCCGGGGAGCGGGCUGGGGUCUCUGUCAGAAGCACCCGAUCACCAUGAGGGCCCCACCACCGUGACCUCAGCAUCCCCCCUCUGCUGCCAUCACCUUAAAGUCAGGGCUCGACAUACGAAUUGUGGGGGGAGAGGGGGCCAUGGAAACAGCCAGACCAUAACAAACUCUUAUGCAAAACACACAAGGACUCUUGGCGUCCUCGUCGUGGCGCAGUGGUUAACGAACGCGAUGAGUAUCCAUGAGGUUGCGGGUUCGAUCCCUGGCCUCGCUCAGUG